AUUGAACGCUGGCGGCAGGCCUAACACAUGAAAGUCGAGCGAGCGGCGGACGGGUGAGUAAUGUAUGGGGACUGCCCGAUAGAGGGGGAUAACUACUGGAAACGGUGGCUAAUACCGCAUACUAUCGGAUAACCCAUAUGGGAUUAGCUAGUAGGUGGGGUAAAGGCUCACCUAGGCGACGAUCUCUAGCUGGUUUGGCAGGAUGAUCAGCCACACUGGGACUGAGACACGGCCACGACUCCUACGGAGGCAGCAGUGGGGAAUAUUGCCCAAUGGGCACAAGCCGUAUGCAGCCAUGCCGCGUGUAUGACGAAGGCCUUAACGUUGUAAAGUACUUUCAGCGGGGAGGCGUUACCCGCAGAAGAAGCACCGGCUAACUCCGUGCCAACCGCCGCGGUAAUUC
rnacentral:rRNA from 1 species